rnacentral:tRNA from 1 species
CUGGGACGAAAGGAUUCGAAGCCUCCGAAUAGCGGGACCAAAACCCGAUGCCUUA